rnacentral:lncRNA from 10 species
AGUGAUGGCCUGGACACAGUCGAUGUCCAGCUUGCGGGCCACGCGGUGUAGAUUGGGCAGGUUCAGCUGGACACAGCCAAUAGGCAUCAUGCUGGGCAGGAAGAGGCUGGAGUGCCCUGGUGUGAUCUCAGCUCACUACAACCUCCACCUCCCGGAUUCAAGUGAUUCUCGUGCCUGUCUCCUGAGUAGCUGGGACUACAGAUGAACACCACAGACGGGGUAAAUGAUUUGCCUAAAGUCACACAGCUCGUAAGGGCCAGAGCCCACACUUUCAUCCACUAGCCUAUAUUCUGUGCUGUCAUCACUGAUAGCAGUGACUGAGACUGAGAGACAAAGUCACUUAAGAGCUGAUGGCUGCUACUAAAAAAUUUAAAUGUGUGGCUCACGUUACAUUUCAACUGAACACUGCUAUGCUGGUUCCAGCACAAAAGACAGGUGAGAUGGUGCAGAGAAAAUCCUCAGCAACCCUGCAGGCCCAGGCAGGGGGCAUCGCCCACUCCAGCCUGCUGCUGGCAGUGACUGUGACCAGCGCCUGCAGCCUUUCCCACUAAGCGGAGGCCCCUCCACUCCCCACUCAGCUUCCCGGAGUCUUGCAACCCCCAAGGACUCCUGGGGUCUGAUGAGAAGUAAAUGGUCUCUGUGAUCAGCCACUGUACACUUCCGGUCGUACGGAGCUGUGUGUCCUGUGAAUAGUCUCUGUGGGACCUCGCUCGGUUCGUGUUCCUCAAGAGCAACCAGCCUAACAGUGCCGCAGCACAGUGUGAAAGGAGCACUGGCUUUAAGGCAGAGCCUGGGAUUCUCACCUGGGCUCUGCUCUGCCA